GAUGAACGCUGGCGGCGUGCCUAAUACAUGCAAGUCGAGCGAACAGAUAAGGAGCUUGCUCCUUUGACGUUAGCGGCGGACGGGUGAGUAACACGUGGGUAACCUACCUAUAAGACUGGAAUAACUCCGGGAAACCGGGGCUAAUGCCGGAUAACAUUUAGAACCGCAUGGUUCUAAAGUAAAAGAUGGUUUUGCUAUCACUUAUAGAUGGACCCGCGCCGUAUUAGCUAGUUGGUAAGGUAACGGCUUACCAAGGCAACGAUACGUAGCCGACCUGAGAGGGUGAUCGGCCACACUGGAACUGAGACACGGUCCAGACUCCUACGGGAGGCAGCAGUAGGGAAUCUUCCGCAAUGGGCGAAAGCCUGACGGAGCAACGCCGCGUGAGUGAUGAAGGUCUUCGGAUCGUAAAACUCUGUUAUUAGGGAAGAACAAAUGUGUAAGUAACUGUGCACGUCUUGACGGUACCUAAUCAG
rnacentral:rRNA from 1 species